rnacentral:rRNA from 1 species
GACGAACGCUGGCGGCGUGCCUAAUACAUGCAAGUAGAACGCUGAAGAGAGGAGCUUGCUCUUCUUGGAUGAGUUGCGAACGGGUGAGUAACGCGUAGGUAACCUGCCUUGUAGCGGGGGAUAACUAUUGGAAACGAUAGCUAAUACCGCAUAACAAUGGAUGACACAUGUCAUUUAUUUGAAAGGGGCAAUUGUUCCACUACAAGAUGGACCUGCGUUGUAUUAGCUAGUAGGUGAGGUAAUGGCUCACCUAGGCGACGAUACAUAGCCGACCUGAGAGGGUGAUAGGCCACACUGGGACUGGGACACGGCCCAGACUCCUACGGGAGGCAGCAGUAGGGAAUCUUCGGCAAUGGGGGCAACCCUGACCGAGCAACGCCGCGUGGGUGAAGAAGGUUUUCGGAUCGUAAAACUCUGUUGUAAGUCAAGAACGGGUGUGAGGGUGGAAAGUUCACACUGUGACGGUAGCUUACCAGAAAGGGACGGCUAACUACGUG